GACGAACGCUGGCGGCGUGCCUAAUACAUGCAAGUCGAGCGAAUCAUUAGGAGCUUGCUCCUGAUGGUUAGCGGCGGACGGGUGAGUAACACGUGGGCAACCUGCCUGUAAGACUGGGAUAACACCGGGAAACCGGUGCUAAUACCGGAUAAUUCUUUCCCUCACAUGAGGGAAAGCUGAAAGUCGGUUUCGGCUGACACUUACAGAUGGGCCCGCGGCGCAUUAGCUAGUUGGUGAGGUAACGGCUCACCAAGGCGACGAUGCGUAGCCGACCUGGGGGGGUGAUCGGCCACACUGGGACUGAGACACGGCCCAGACUCCUACGGGGGGCAGCAGUAGGGAAUCUUCCGCAAUGGACGAAAGUCUGACGGAGCAACGCCGCGUGAGUGAUGAAGGCCUUCGGGUCGUAAAACUCUGUUGUUAGGGAAGAACAAGUAUCGGAGUAACUGCCGGUACCUUGACGGUACCUAACCAGAAAGCCACGGCUAACUACGUGCCAGCCGCCGCCGUAAGAC
rnacentral:rRNA from 1 species